GUGGGGAAUCGCAAGCUAGGCUCGCCGUUUAAGCAGGCCUAGCGUAAGGAAAGUCCGGCCUCUUGGGUUGGGGUUCGGCGUAAGCCGAAUGCAGCAAAUGCAUGCGCACAUGAAGGCACAGCACAGCCUGGCUUCUGCCGGGUAUGGUGGGAGCGCAAAGCGCACUGCAGAAACACCUGCAGCAAUGGUGCCCCUUUGGAGUAACCCUAUACAAGCAGAGCACCGGAGGCACGGCGCACUGCACCCGGCGCUGAACCUGCAGGUAAGGGGCUUAGAGUGAUGAUUCGAAUACUGAAUCCGGCUUAUCACCGCCACAUAA
rnacentral:misc_RNA from 1 species